GCUCCGCCCUCCUGGUUUUUUUCACAGUGCCAAUCCUGCUUCACUGAGGUCUCCAUGCUUUGGGAAUUUUGGAGUUAUCAGCCUUGUGGAGGCUAGACUUGGCUUGGUUCUGUCCUUCGCCUUUGUGGCCUUCCUCAAAAUGUAAAAGGUUGAAUUAAGGUUUUCUUGGUCACUUGAAAAGCAAAAAUUAAAGGGGUGGGGGAUAGGGAGAUGGUUAGAAAUAUACAGGCUCUUUCCGCAUACAAGUUUACCUCUUCUUGCCUUCACUGCCUAAAAAAGGGGUUAUAGGCCGGGCGGUGGUGGUGCACGCCUUUAAUCCCAGCACUUGGGAGGCAGAGGCAGGCGGAUUUCUGAGUUCGAGGCCAACCUGGUCUACAAAGUGAGUUCCAGAACAGCCAGGGCUACACAGAGAAACCCUGUGUGUGUGUGGGGGGGGGGGGGGGGGGAACCUCAAGGAAAUUUGACGUUUUUCCAGUGUUCCUGCCUCUUAUUUUCAGCUGUUUCAAUACGUAUUGAAAAAAAACUACUUCUCUACAUAAUUAAACGAUAACGGCCUUUUAUCUUUGUGUUAGAUUUUCAAAACAAAGUUACUCAAAUUAACUUUGGCAAGUUUCUAUCACAUCCUGGGACGCCGUUUAGGUCACUCACCAUGUUUAUGGAUUACUCCCACUUUCUCAAAUAUGUUAAAAUGCAUCUUUAAAGCGUUUCUUUUUUUUUUUUUUUUAGAUUUAUUUAUUUAUUUAUUUAUUUAUUUAUUUAUUUAUUUAUUAUAUGUAAGUACACUGUAGCUGUCUUCAGACACUCCAGAAGAGGGAGUCAGAUCUUGUUAUGGAUGGUUGUGAGCCGCCAUGUGGUUGCUGGAAUUUGAACUCCGGACCUUCAGAAGAGCAGUCAGGUGCUCUUACCCACUGAGCCAUCUCACCAGCCCUAAUUUUUUUUAAAAGCAUUCCUGACUCAAAAAUCACCAUGGAACUACUGAAUGGUAGAAGAGAAUGGAUUACAGAAUCAUUCCCCUUUAGUAAAACUCAAAAGGAAUAUGGCUAUUACAAGAAUAUGGUUAUGAUGGUUUGUAUAUGCUUGCCCCAGGGAGUGGCACUAUUUAAAAAGUGUGGCCCUGUUGGAGUAGGUGUGGCCUUGUUGGUGUAGGUGUGUUACUGUGGGUGUGGGCUUUGACACCCUUAUCCUAGCUGCCUGGAAGACAGUAUUCUGCUAGCAGCCUUCAGAUGAAGAUGUAGAAUUCUCAACUCUUCCUGUACCAUCAUGCCUGCCUGGAUGCUGCUAUGUUGAUAUCAUCAAGAUGCUGCCCAUCUUGAUGAUAAUGGACCUAUAAGCCAGCCCCAAUUAAAUGUUGUCCUUAUAAGAGUUGUCUUGGUCAUGGUGUCUGUUCACAGCAGUAAAACCCUAAUAAGACAGUGGUUAAGUCUUACUGGGCCUGGAGAGGUGGCUCAGCUACUAAUCACUUUCACUUUUGCUGCUCUUCCAGAAGACCCAAGUUCAUUUUCCAGCAACCACAGUGGGCGGCAAACUGCUUGUAACUUCAUCUCCAGAGGAUUCAGUGACCUUUUCUCUCAAGAGCACCGUACCCUCACACACAUACAUAAACAUCCACAUUUUAAAACAUUAUUUGUAUUAAUUCUCAAAGAAUUAAUAAACGUUAAACAUAUUCACUUCCCAGCUCAUUCUAUAACCCCUCUCUCAAACCUUCCCUCUCUUCGCACCCAACCUGGAACCACUCCUCCCUAUCUAGUCUAGUUUGUGUUGCCCAACUAACAACUAACAGGAAAUGUGGUUGACCUGCCUGGGGUUACAUAAUUAAAAGCUGUCUCUUCCUCUCCCUUCCCUUUGCUAGUGGUAGGAUCUGGUACCUACCUUCCCACCACUAUGCUGGAGUUUUGUCUGGCUUGAGUUUGCUUACUUCUUAUGCAUGUUGUCACAUUACUAUGAGUUUAUUGUGCAUCCGCCCAAUGUCUAAAAAACAGUUUCUUUGAUCCACCACCUCUGCUUCUGGCAAUCUCUCCAUCUAAUCUUCUGAAAAGAGCCCUGGGCCUUGGAAGAAGGGAUGAGAUAUGAUGUAUGAUUGAAGCUGAACACUCCACAUACUCCUAUUCCCUGUGCAUUGUCUCACGGAGAGUCUCUGUGUUAACUGACAUCUACUACAAGAAGUAUCUCUGAUGAAGGCUAAAAUGCGUUCUGAUCUAUGCUAUGAUCUAAUGGUAUUAGAAGUCAUUUCAAUACUAUGUCCAUUUAGCAGAAUAACAGUAUUGAGUUCUUCCUUAAAGCCUAUGGCCUAUCUAGACACAGUUCUUGGCCCUUUUAACAGUGCCAGGUAUUAGUUCUGUGUAAUAGAACAGACCUUAGUAAUCAGAAAGUGUUGGUUACUCCAAUAAUAUUUAUGCCACCAUUACAUCAGCUGGAAUAUCUUGUCAGGCCAAUUGUUUUUGUAGUUUGCAAGGUUCGGGGUUGAUGGUUAUUUUUCUCUUCUGGUAGCAUGCAUUGCAUCUUUUAGCACCAUGAAAGUUAGUCAAUAUGAAUGAAGCUUCCAGGUGAGUACCAACUUGGUUUCUUUGUGUUCUUUGUGUCCAGUAUCUUCAACAACAAGUCAGACUGUCAAGUUCUGGGGAAUAGCCAGGUGUAUGGACAAUAGCCUGCAAUGCUUAGGGGUUGGCACAUAUGACUCCACUGGUCAACAACUGAAAAAAAGGUAACACAUUGCUGUUUUUUAUUAGCAUGUGGUAUCUACUCUGCAUUGUACAGUAACACCAUUAAACCUCUUUUCAUAUGUGUAUUUGUAUAUAUUUUAGCAAGUUCCUAUAGUAGAAGGAUCAUUUUUAAAGAUUUUUACUAUUUUUGUUUCUGUAUGUAAGUGUGCCUGUGUGAAAGAAUACCACUUCUGUACAGGUGCCUUCAGAGACCAAAAGAGGGCAUCAGAUCAUGCGUAGCUAGAGUUACAGACAGUUGUGGGCUUUCUGACUUGGGUGUUGGAAAGGGAAUUCAUCUCCUGGAAGAGCAACAAAUAUGCUUAACCACCAAGCCACCUUUCCAGUCCCUAAAAAAGUGUUUUUAAUAUGUUCAGAGUCCAGAGUGCUCACCAUUACAUGACAAAAUCUUUUUUUUUUUUUUGAGACAAGGUUUCUCUGUGUAGUUCUGGCUGUCCUGGAACUCACUCUGUAGACCAGGCUGGCCUGGAACUCAGAAACCCGCCUGCCUCUCCCUCCCAAGUGCUGGGAUUAAAGGCGUAUGCCACCACGCCUGGCAACAGAACUUUUUAAUGUGUUCAAAAAGCUAGUGGAAACCAUUUCUGAAGAACUAAAAGAAAGUAAGGGAAAAGAGAACAUCAAAAAUUAGUAAAACUAGGUAAAAUGAGGGUACAGACCUUUAAUCCCAGCACAGACGAAGAAGAGGAAGAAGAAGAGGAGGAGGAAGAGAAGGCCAAACUCUGUUAGUUCUAGGUCAGCCUGGUUAACAUAUUGAGUUCCAGGGCCACAUAAUGAUACUGUCUC
rnacentral:lncRNA from 1 species